GACCUGGUGGUGAAAUGAAUCACACUUGCAUUUGAUAUUCGAUAGCCAUCCACGGUAGAGCAGGAGGUCCCGGUUCGAAUCCGGGUUAGGUCA